AUAACUAUUGGAAACGAUAGCUAAUCCGCAUAAGAACAUUUACUGCAUGGUAGAUGUUUAAAAGGUGCAAAUGCAUCACUACCAGAUGGCCUGCGUUGUAUUAGCUAGUAGGUAGGUAACGGCUCACUAGGCGACGAUACAUAGCCGACCUGAGAGGGUGAUCGGCCACACUGGGACUGAGACACGGCCCAGACUCCUACGGGAGGCAGCAGUAGGGAAUCUUCGGCAAUGGGGGGGACCCUGACCGAGCAACGCCGCGUGAGUGAAGAAGGUUUUCGGAUCGUAAAGCUCUGUUGUUAAGGAAGAACGAGUGUGAGAAUGGAAAGUUCAUACUGUGACGGUACUUACCAGAAGGAGGUGUCAACCGCA
rnacentral:rRNA from 1 species